rnacentral:rRNA from 1 species
AGCUUCGGCCAUCCGGCGAGGGAUGAGCCCGCGGUGCAUUAGCUAGUUGGUGGGGUGAAGGCCCACCAAGGCGACGAUGCGUAGCUGGUCUGAGAGGAUGAUCAGCCACACUGGGACUGAGACACGGCCCAGACUCCUACGGGAGGCAGCAGUCAGGAAUCUUGCGCAAUGGGCGCAAGCCUGACCCAGCAACACCGUGUGUGCGAUGAAGGCCUUCGGGUCGUAAAGCCCUGUUGAUAGGGACGAAGGGCGAAGGGUUAAUAGCCC